UGCUCUAUCGCCAAAAGGUAAGGCACAGGACUUUGAUUCCUGCAUUUGUUGGUUCGAAUCCAACUAGGGCAG
rnacentral:tRNA from 2 species